rnacentral:rRNA from 1 species
GAUGAACGCUGGCGGCGUGCCUAAUACAUGCAAGUCGAACGCAUUGAGAGAAGUGCUUGCACUUUUCAAUUUGAGUGGCGAACGGGUGAGUAACACGUGGGCAACCUACCUGAUAGCGGGGGAUAACGAGUGGAAACAUUCGCUAAUACCGCAUAACAAUAGAGAAGGCAUCUUCUUUAUUUAAAAGGCGCUUUCAAGCGUCACUAUCAGAUGGGCCCGCGGUGCAUUAGUUAGUUGGUGGGGUGAAGGCCUACCAAGACGAUGAUGCAUAGCCGGGUUGAGAGACUGAGCGGCCACAUUGGGACUGAGGCACGGCCCAAACUCCUACGGGAGGCUGCAGUAGGGAAUCUUCCACAAUGGACGAAAGUCGGAUGGAGCAACGCCGCGUGUGUGAUGAAGGCUUUCGGGUCGUAAAGCACUGUUGUAUGGGAAGAAAUGCUAGGCUAGGAAAUGAGCUUAGUUUGACGGUACCAUACCAGAAAGGGACGGCUAAAUACGUGCCAGCAGCCGCAGUAA